rnacentral:tRNA from 1 species
GCCUUCGUGGUGUAAUAGUCUGCACGCUGGGCGCGUAUUUCAGGAGUCCGGGGUUCGAGUCCCGGCGAGGGCA